UAUGUAUUGCAUUUUUCAUGCCAUGUCCUGUACGGAAUGGAAGAUAAGUAUAUUUUAUUUAUUAUUAUUAUUUUUUUUUUUGAAAGGAAAUGAGUCUCUUUAUUUGUUAAGUUAAUGAAAUGAGACUAAUGCUCAAAAUACAAAGAUACGACAAGAUAAUACUUUGGAUUAGUAGGUCAAGAUAUCUCAACUAGGUUGACACCCCCUUAGCACCAUCAUCAUCUCCUAGGACAAAAAUUGAGGAUAUAAUUAGAAUGUUUCAGUACAAUACAUUACAGUAUAUUCAUGUUCCUAAAGGACCUAAGCAGAAAGGAUGGCAUUCUUUUAUUGGAAUGCUUAAAAGUUUUAAAGAAAUGUGAGGCAGUAAGUCAGAUAUUAAAGAAGCCAUUAACAGAUUUUGCUCAAUCCACCAAAGUUAUACCUGAGCUAAAUUCCCAAAGGAAAUAUGAAACAAGUUUCGCAGACGCGGUAAAAGGAAAAGGAAGUAUCAAGUUCUUUGCCCCAAAAUCAUCAAAUAAGAGCAGUAACAAGCAGACGUAGUCCUCUGUUCCAGUGAUGGUAAAAAAACAGAGCAAGAAGUGCUUUUGGAUUCAGAAGAAUUAUGAUGUUUUCAAGGAGGAUUUUAAUAACUUAUGAAUCAUUUCGAGGCUAUUUGUGUUCAAUGAAUGAAAGGAGAUAGCAAAAGUACUGAAAGAGGUCUUUCAUUCUAGUGUCAUUAUCAAUUCCCUGUUUGCAGAUAAAGCCUUAAUCAAAGUUGGCCAAGGAGAUUUGGAAGAGCUGAUCAAAGAUCCGGGUAAAUGGCCGUUAAUUGGUUCUUAUCGUUUACUAUUUGAAAAAUGGAAUAAGACAAGACAUGGUAGACCUUCAAUUAUGAAAGGAUUUGGGGGAUGAAUAUCAAUAAAAAAUCUUCGAUUGGAUUACUGGUGUAGAAGUACGUUUGAAGUAAUUAGAGCUUAUUUUGGAGGUCUUGAAAGCAUAGCAGCUGAAACUCUUAAUCUCACAAAUUGUGCGGAAGCUAAAAUCCAAGUUAGAAGAAACCUUUGUAGAUUCAUGCCAGUGACCACAGAAAUUAAGGAUGAAAAUCGUGGCUGUAUCUUUUUGAAUUUUGGGGAUAUUGAGUGUGUUGAUACUGGUGAUUUAUUUGUUAAUAAUUUUUCCAAUCCAAUAGAUUUAGUUCGUCCGAAUCUAAGUUAUGAAGGAUGAAGGUGUUGCUAUUAAUGUUAUGGAAUCAAAAUGGUCUUUCCUUGUAUCCACUCAGUCCAAACUGGAGUACUCAAGAACCCGAACGUGUUUUUGAAGAAGGAUCUCCUACAGAUGCUGUAGACAACAAAGCAUUCCCCUAUGAUCAAGCUUCCUUCAACAAUGGAUGGUGUGAACACUUCAGAGGAAAGUGAAGCGUCACUUUUAAUGAGGAAAGAGAAAGCUUCUGACGUUUCGGGUUUUAAGGAAAACACAGUUAUUUUAAACACAAAAAAGGCAGGCGAAGAGUCACUCUUAAAGCAAGGAGUGAAGAACUUUAAUGAGAAAUGGGAGCUUUCCGACAUGGAAGAUCAGACAACCCACAACGAAAUUAAUACUGAGAAAGGGAUAUAUGAAGAGCCACAUGGUUUUUCUUUGGAAAUUUCUCAAAAAACAGGGACCUCGAACACCUUCUGCUACACUCCAGACAAUAGAAAGCUAAACUCAAGAGAUAAAUCAAGGAAACUCUCUGCUUCCUCUGCUUCUCGAUCGAAAUUUUCCAGUCUUUGGAAACCUUUUCCCAAACAUUUUGCCAGAAAAUGAACUUCCUACAUCAAUAAAUGGAUAGUAACAAAUAAUCAAGAGUUGUUGGAAAGAAAUGACCUCAGAAUCUCAAAUUUUUGGCUCCUCAGACGGUAAAGAGAAUAAGAGUUCGAGUCCCCUCAGAACAAGCUCAACAGAAAACAACCCAGAUUUGUUAGAGGAUUGUUGCACAAGAAUUCAAGCACCCUUUUCUUCCACAAAGACAGAGGUACACCUUGACCUCCUCUGAUCUCCUAUAAAACAAGAAAGUGUGAAUCUGACAUAGACUCUCCAAUUAGUGUGAGUAGCGAAGAUAUUUAAGGCCUGGAGAUUGGUACAACCCAAGAGGACAGAGUGCAAGAAGAAAUUAGUGGUGUGGAUCUACCGACUCUGUUUUUGAAUGAAGUUGAGUUGAAUGGUGACGAGCAUCGUUUUUCAUGUUUUUCUCCAUUACACCCAUCUGAAUUACCCCUCAUUUGACCUCCAUUGUUAAGAAUUGUGGAGUUAUCUUGGCUUGAGUACUCUCCCCUUUUUUCAUACGUGCAGUGCUCUAUUGACAAAACACAAUGAAGAUUGUGUCCUGGAACACAUGGGGGCAAUCUUGUAUUAUUUGGCAUAACCUUCUUCUUCUUUUGUACUAUUGUGUAUCGGUUAGUGAUUUGUUUUGGGACCUUGUUGUUCUUUGUUUUAUCACUAUGUUAUGUUAGUUUUGUAUGGAUGUGAUCAGUGUUUUAAAAUGCCCAAGGUGCACUAAGGCGCAAUGGCCCUUUGGAGCCUAGGUGCGGGCUUUUUUUCGUAAGGCGCAUUAUAUAUAAAAAAUAUAAAAAAAAAUAGAUACUAUAUACAUGUUUAUUUACACAACCAAAACAUAGAUGGAUAGAAAUGUGACUUAAAGAAGAAUAUACAAAAAAAAAAAAAAGAAAUAGAUAAGAUUUAAAUAUUAGUCAUUGACUCAUUGUCAUUCAACACCAAGUUAAAGUGAAACGACACAAAAACAAUCACAAAUACGAUUCUAAAAUCCUAAAUAUCGAACUCAUCUUCACUAAAUAGGUUUUCAUCCUCAUUCUCUCCAUCAUUCGACUUAUAACCAUCUAUAUCUUCUUUGUCGGUCUCAGAGUCAUAACUGAUGUGUGGGUGGGUUGGGAUGGUGGUUGUGUGGAAGAUGAAGAUGAACAUAAAGCAUUAGUCUUAGACUUAGUUCUUAAGGUACCAACUCUAGAAUAAUAGGCAAGUUCUUUGCUCCAGUAGCUCUUGAAACAUCGCCCCAUGUUAAAGAAUCGUUGUCGAAAACAAGAUCAUCCUCCUCCUCUAAAUCGUCAUCCGUUCUUCCAAUCAGCCACCCAUUACUAUCAUCUAUCUCUUUUAAAGAGAUAGGGUCAACGAUGUCUCGAAUAUUAUAUCGACGCUUCAGUGCUCUAUUAUAUUUUAUGAAUACUAAGUCAUUCAGACAACUUUGAGCAAGUCUAUUCCUUUUCUUGCUAUAAAGCUGCAAGUAUACACUAAAAAUUUCAUUGUCAACUUCAAUUACAUUCACAUCUAGAGGCACUACAAAUAACAAAAGAUACCUAACCUGUUAACAAACGCUCCAAUUAUGUUCACAUCUAGAGGCACUACAAGUGAUGCCCCAUUGAGCGUUAGUAGCGAAGAUGAAGUCGAGCCUCAUGAACAAGAGGAUGGGCAAGUGACUCUAAAGAAGGAGAUAUCAGCUUUAGAUCUUAAUGCCUUGUUCUAGAUUGAGGAAGAUCCAGCUGAUAAAACGAAAUUUGAAGCCAACCUUCCACCACUCCAAUCAGUGGAUAUCCCAGAUCAUUUGAAAUCAAUAAUCGAUGAUUGCGGAGUAAUUUAGUUUGAUUUUCCUUAGUUACACACUGGGUUCUAUAAUUGGUAAUUUCAUGAUGAAAAUAGUUUCAUGGAAUACAAGAGGUUUGAAGGAUGUCAGUAAGAGAUUGGCACUCGAGAUUUUUGAAAAAACAUAAUCUGGACUUGGUGUUAGUACAAGAGUCAAAGAAAGAAAACUUUGAUAUUGGGUUCAUCAAAUCUAUAUGGAGCUUUAAAGACAUAGGUCGGGAAUUUGUGGAAUCAUUUGGAAAGUCUGGAGGAAUGUUGACAUUAUGGGACAAGAGUAAGCUCUCGGUUGCCGAAUCUCUCAAAGGAGGAUAUUUACUUUCAGUUGAAUGCAUUACAAUGAGUAAGAAGACGUGUGGGUUACAAAUGUGUACGGUCCAAAUGAUUACAAGGAGAGAAAUUUGUAUGGCCUGAAUUGCUUUCCCUCUCAGUGUAUUGUUCAAAAGCAUGGUGUAUUGGAAGAGAUUUCAACAUUACUAGAUGGGCUCAUGAGUGAUUUCUGUAUGGUAGAGUCACCAAAGGUAUGAGGAAGUUUAAUAAUUUCAUUGGUCAAGCUAAUCUUUUGAAAAUUCCUCUUUCUAAUGGCAGCUACACUUGG